GAAAGACAACUACCCCUUGGAUGAAAACAGUGAAGACAGUGAGGACGAACGUAUCCACACUGAACUUCGACUUGACCCCGCUUGUGGUAUUUGAGAAGAGAAACUCUGGACUGGAUCAUCUCUGGUCCGUUGCUAACAUGAAUCACCUGCCGUUGAACUCCGGCUGUGAUGAAACACACCAGGUACACCUGAGAGUGAUGGUGAAAGAAGAGGACGUGAAAGAAGAGGAAUACGGACAUAUGAUUACAUGGCAAGAUGAAGAAGAAAAGCCCAUUGCAGAUCUUCACUGUAAAACGGAAUCAGACUUCACAGAGUCACUAAGCUCCACUCAUAAUGAAACACUACAGACAACAGUGGAGGUUAAAGUGAAGGAAGAAGAGGAUGAACAAGGACACGGCGAAACUACACCAAUGAAGACAAAUGCAUAUCCCUUUUGGGAGCAACAGCUGGAACAUGUCCUAGACACGUAAGUACAUUUAUGAUUGCACACACGCAUAAUGCUAUUAGCAUGCUCUUCGGGUAUG
rnacentral:lncRNA from 1 species